AUUGAACGCUGGCGGCAGGCUUAACACAUGCAAGUCGAACGAAGUGGCGAACGGGUGAGUAACGCGUAAUCAGCCUGCCCUUCAGAGGGGGACAACAGUUGGAAACGACUGCUAAUACCGCAUACUGAAGGAGGGGAUUGCGUCUGAUGAGCUAGUUGGCGGGGUAACGGCCCACCAAGGCGAUGAUCAGUCGACGGUCUGAGAGAAGGAACGGCCAAAUUGGGACUGAGACACGGCCCAGACUCCGACGGGAGGCAGAAGUGGGGAAUCUUCCGCAAUGGACGAAAGUCUGACGGAGCAACGCCGCGGGAGUGAUGACGGACUUCGGGGUGUAAAGCUCUGUUAAUCGGGACGCGGUACCGGAAUAGAAAGCCACGGCUAACUACGUGCCAGCAGCCGCGGUAAUAC
rnacentral:rRNA from 1 species